rnacentral:rRNA from 1 species
GAUGAACGCUGGCGGCGUGCCUAAUACAUGCAAGUCGAGCGAACGGACGAGAAGCUUGCUUCUCUGAUGUUAGCGGCGGACGGGUGAGUAACACGUGGAUAACCUACCUAUAGGACUGGGAUAACUUCGGGAAACCGGAGCUAAUACCGGAUGAUAUUUUGAACCGCAUGGUUCAAUAGUGAAAGACGGUCUUGCUGUCACUUAUAGAUGGAUCCGCGCUGCAUUAGCUAGUUGGUAAGGUAACGGCUUACCAAGGCAACGAUGCAUAGCCGACCUGAGAGGGUGAUCGGCCACACUGGAACUGAGACACGGUCCAGACUCCUACGGGAGGCAGCAGUAGGGAAUCUUCCGCAAUGGGCGAAAGCCUGACGGAGCAACGCCGCGUGAGUGAUGAAGGUCUUCGGAUCGUAAAACUCUGUUAUUAGGGAAGAACAUAUGUGUAAGUAACUAUGCACGUCUUGACGGUACCUAAUCAGAAAGCCACGGCUAACUACGUG